rnacentral:misc_RNA from 1 species
GAUGAAGAACGCAGCGAAAUGCGAUACGUAAUGUGAACUGCAGAAUUCAGUGAAUCAUCGAGUCUUUGAACGCACAUUGCGCCCCCUGGUAUUCCGGGGGGCAUGCCUGUCCGAGCGUCAUUGCUGCCCUCAAGCACGGCUUGUGUGUUGGGCCUCCGUCCUCCUCCCGGGGGACGGGCCCGAAAGGCAGCGGCGGCACCGCGUCCGGUCCUCGAGCGUAUGGGGCUUCGUCACCCGCUCUUGUAGGCCCGGCCGGCGCUUGCCGACACAUCAAUCUUUUUUCCAGGUUGACCUCGGAUCAGGUAGGGAUACCCGCUGAACUUAAGCAUAUCAAAAGCGGAGGA